GGCAGACUGGCUGUCCUACUGGCUGUCCUACUGACCAUAACUACCGCAAGGCCUACGAUUACAUCAGGUCAGACUGGCUGUCCUACUGACCAUAACUACCGCAAGGCCUACGAUUACAUCAGGUCAG